CACAACUUGGUUUUUGAAGAGUGAAGGAGGCUAGCUAUAUGGUGAAACAAAGGAUUGUGAUAGAGGUUCCAUUGAGCAAGGAAAGAUGGAGAACAAGGGCGUUGACCAUAGCCUCUGCCGCAAUUGGUGUGUUGUCGGUCACAUUGGAAAGGGGGGAGAAGGAUAAAAUGGUAAUAAUUGGAGAAGGAGUUGAUUCAACCGAACUGA